ACCCUAGAUCUUCCUUUCUUCAUUUUAUCGCAAUCUCAUCCUCUCUCACUAUCUCGCUCUGUCUCGUUUGAGUCUCCGACCACUGUUAAUUACAUCUUACAGUCUCUUCCUUCCCUCAUCUCGUCUCCGUUUCUUCCUCUAUCACUAUCUCUCCCUCUCUCUAUUUGAGUUCCUCCUCUGCGAAUUCGCCACCGUGUCUGGACCUGUUUUCAUGUUCGAGGGGAGGCCCUCCGACUCACUGGAGCUCGACGGCACGCCGUUAAUCCGUCUCCUCUACUUUUGUAUAACCCGGAUCUGUACUUAAUUGACGGAAGAGACAAGUCUGGUGCGAGACAGCCUUCGCGGUUCCUCUGGUAUUAUUCCCCUCUUGAAUUUGAAGUCCUUCUUGGCUAGUGACUAUGGUGGAUGGGUGCGAUUUCUAGGGUUCGGUGGAGAUGAUUGGGGGUGGAUGAGGGCUCGAAGGAUGAUUAUCUGAUGAUUUCGUGGUUGUGGACAGGGGAGUUAUGGAUGGACGAGGUGUGAAAAGAGGAGUUAUGGAUGGAUGAGGUAAGAAAGGAGUUGUGGACAGGAGAUUUGUGUAUGUGAGAUAUAGCAGAAAAGAGGAGUUGGGGUUGAUACAGACUCCUCUAUACUCUACGAGAUGAAGGAAUGCAUUUUAAAGGGGAAACCAUGCACAUUGCAAAUAUUAAAUUACAGUAACAGAAAAGAUAAGAACACGUUCUGGAAUCUUCUUCACAUAGCCAGUUCGUCAUGCUUCAGGCAAGACAGCAUAUUUUGUAGGGGUUCAGAUGGAAGCAAGUUGCACAGAUACCUAAAGUAAAGAUCUGAGGCCGGAGACAAGGAAACUGAUGGUUGGUGCAAUUAGAGUUGCGGUCAGAAGCUCUUUCAUGGUAACUUGUUGAUGGUUACAUACGCCACGAACAACAUGUAUUUUAGAGAGUACACGGAGUGAAUUCAACGUAGCAUCUCUAUAAAUCAUUUUGUACAUGAACACAAAGUGUAUAUUGAGAUAAUUAAAACUUUGUCCUUUUCUA